GAUGAAGAACGCAGCGAAAUGCGAUACUUGGUGUGAAUUGCAGAAUCCCGUGAACCAUCGAGUCUUUGAACGCAAGUUGCGCUCGAAGCCAUUAGGCCGAGGGCACGCCUGCCUGGGCGUCACACGUCGUUGCCCCCCCAUCUACUCCUUCGGGAUUGCGGGGGGCGGAUGAUGGCCUCUCGUGCGCCUCGUCGCGCGGUUGGCCUAAAUGCCAAGUCCUCGGCGACGCACGCCACGACAAUCGGUGGUUGCGAAACCUCGGUUGCCUGUCGUGUGCGGUCGUCGCGCAUCGAGGGCUCGAAAAAAUUGCCGGGCUUCGGCUCGACUUUCAACGCGACCCCAGGUCAGGCGGGGUUACCCGCUGAAUUUAAGCAUAUCAAUAAGCGGAGGA
rnacentral:misc_RNA from 1 species